GAUGAAGAACGUAGCGAAAUGCGAUAAGUAAUGCGAAUUGCAGAAUUCAGUGAAUCAUCGAAUCUUUGAACGCACAUUGCGCCCGCUAGUAUUCUGGCGGGCAUGCCUGUCUGAGCGUCAUUUCAACCCUCGCCCCCGGCUUUUGCUGGGAGCGGUGUUGGGGAUCGGCCGCCCGUCACUGGGAGGCCGGCCCCGAAAUAGAGUGGCGACCACGCCGUGUGCUCCUCUGAGUAGUAGUAAAUCACCUCGCAGGCGGACAGCGGUGCGGCCUGCCGUAAAACCCCCAACUCUUUCUGGUUGACCUCAGAUCAGGUAGGAAUACCCGCUGAACUUAAGAAUAUCAAUAAGCGGAGGA
rnacentral:misc_RNA from 1 species